rnacentral:rRNA from 1 species
GACGAACGCUGGCGGCGUGCUUAACACAUGCAAGUCGAACGGAAAGGCCCUGCUUUUGUGGGGUGCUCGAGUGGCGAACGGGUGAGUAACACGUGAGUAACCUGCCCUUGACUUUGGGAUAACUUCAGGAAACUGGGGCUAAUACCGGAUAGGAGCUCCUGCUGCAUGGUGGGGGUUGGAAAGUUUCGGCGGUUGGGGAUGGACUCGCGGCUUAUCAGCUUGUUGGUGGGGUAGUGGCUUACCAAGGCUUUGACGGGUAGCCGGCCUGAGAGGGUGACCGGCCACAUUAGGACUGCGAUACGGCCCAGACUCGUACGGGAGACAGCGGUGGGGAAUAUUACACAGUGGGCGGAAGCCUGAUGCGGCAACGCCGCGUGCGGGAUGACGGCCUUCGGGUUGUAAACCGCUUUCGCCUGUGACGAAGCGGGAGUGACGGUAAUGGAUGAAGAAGCACCGGCUAACUACGUG